UGAGAAAGGUCAAUCGCAAACACAAGGUUUUAUAGUGGUUCGGAGCUUCCACUGCUCCUACAUCCACUCCCCAAAUCACCUUUGGGAAUUUCCACUAUAAUCCAAGAUUACAGUACGGUAGUUUUGCGAGUUCACUACCCAACUCGUUGUUUUACACCGGGCUCACAACAAACCCUAAAACCCCCAAUUUCACUUAGGCUUGGGACGCCUUUCCCUUGUUCCAAGUCCCUUGACUGGAACAAGCACCACAAUGAAAGAGUUUACAAAAGAAA
rnacentral:lncRNA from 1 species